rnacentral:rRNA from 1 species
UACGUAGGGUGCAAGCGUUAAUCGGAAUUACUGGGCGUAAAGCGUGCGCAGGCGGUUAUGUAAGACAGUUGUGAAAUGCCCGGGCUUAACCUGGGAACUGCAUUUGUGACUGCAUGGCUAGAGUUUGGCAGAGGGGGGUAGAAUUCCACGUGUAGCAGUGAAAUGCGUAGAUAUGUGGAGGAACACCGAUGGCGAAGGCAGCCCCCUGGGUCAAGACUGACGCUCAUGCACGAAAGCGUGGGGAGCAAACAGG